rnacentral:rRNA from 1 species
UACGUAGGGGGCAAGCGUUGUCCGGAUUUAUUGGGCGUAAAGAGCGUGUAGGCGGCCAGAUAGGUCUGCUGUGAAAACUCGAGGCUCAACCUCGAGCUGUCGGCGGAAACCAUCUGGCUAGAGUCCGGAAGAGGAGAGUGGAAUUCCCGGUGUAGCGGUGAAAUGCGCAGAUAUCGGGAAGAACACCAACGGCGAAGGCAGCUCGCUGGGACGGUACUGACGCUGAGACGCGAAAGCGUGGGGAGCGGACAGG